CAGGCUGGCCGCUGUGGAAGACUAGUGAUUUUGUUGUUCUACAUUCUGAUCUGACAACAAGUCACAGUCUACCUCAGCGCUCGGACCC
rnacentral:pre_miRNA from 1 species